rnacentral:siRNA from 1 species
UAUUGAAGAUGUCCAUCAAG